rnacentral:lncRNA from 1 species
GUACAGCUGCAUGGAUUGGCGAUAUGAGUAUUUGUACAAACCGCCGAGGACCUCAAGUUCACAUGGUUCGUGCUUCUUUACGUACGAACUCUACAUAUGACAACCAGCAGAUCAAUUGGUACCAUCUCCGAUUUCUAUCAUCAUGUUGCUUCAUUUAUCUUCAUAUAAGUUUCACUGGAUGCAUGUAUUUAACAUACUACUUUUUUAGUAGGCAUCAAACUUGGUUCAAGUAGCUUUUUUUUUGAAAGAAAGUUAUGUUUCUAUAGAUCUGUACUCUGAAUCCAAGAUCUCAUACUUGCUUUUUUGGCAUAAUAGUUUCAGGCCUGAUGAGUAUCAAGCAGAUUGGGUUCUCCAAGGAAUGCCAAUACGAACUCACUUUUUGCAACACACAUGCUCAUCCAAUUGGGCAGCCAGCUGGGAGGUAGACAAUACCUUUUUCCUCUUUCACAAAUAAAAUAUUUUGAUACUCAAGAUUGGAUAUCAAGGCAUUAUUUUAUAUCAAUUUAUUGAGCCAAGG